rnacentral:misc_RNA from 1 species
UCAAGUAAAAUCUACGAGCCUCCUGCAAACAAAAUUGUUAGUUCUGCCAAUUUCUAUGUUCAAAAAAUCAUUAACGUCAUGUUUUAAUAAGAACCAUUGAGUGUCAAAUUGUUAACAUGUAGCAGUUUCUUUAUAAAUUUAACUUUGUUUUGGAUAACCUUCAAGAUAUGCUAGGACAGCAACAGCAAUGAAAACAUAUCUUUCCAGAAGGGUAGAGAUAUUUGGGGUGCACAAUCAUCAAACUAUUAUAUACUCUUAUUAUUUUUUUUACUAUUAUUGGAUGGAAAAUCCUUCCUGAUGUCAAGGCUAUAAGCUACUUUUCUAAGAUACAUGUUUAAGUGUCUUGAAACUCUAUAUGCAAAGGUAUGUACUAAUACUUAAAAAAAGAUGAAUUUACUAGCCAAAAGGUUGAGAGCUACAAAGUUCAAAAUGUGAUUAUGUUGUUUAAUAUUGUUGCCCACAAAGAUAAGCACACUAAGAAAUCCAUCCACCAGUAGAAAAGGCUAAAAUAUAUUGCAUACAAAUAUAAUUUUCCAAAAGAGGUGCAUGGAAAUGGUCACUCUUGCACACAUGCUCACAUAAACUGAUAAACGAACUUGUGCACUGAAGCAUGCCUGCAAAUGAUUAAGAUUAAAGCUAAUAUACUCAAGAUCUUUACCUUGAUACCAGGAAUGGAUCGUG